AACGUAGGGGGCAAGCGUUGCCCGGAUUCACUGGGCGUAAAGCGGGUGUAGGCGGUCCGUUAAGUCGGGUGUGAAAUCUCCAGGCUCAACCUGGAAACUGCACCCGAUACUGGCGGACUUGAGGACGGUAGAGGUCGGUGGAAUGAGCGGUGUACCGGUGAAAUGGACAGAUAUCGCUCAGAACACCAGUGGCGAAGGCGGCCGACUGGGCCGUUCCUGACGCUGAGACCCGAAAGCCAGGGGAGCGAACCGG
rnacentral:rRNA from 1 species